rnacentral:rRNA from 1 species
UACGUAGGGUGCGAGCGUUGUCCGGAAUUAUUGGGCGUAAAGAGCUCGUAGGCGGUUUGUCGCGUCGACUGUGAAAACCCGAGGCUUAACCUCGGGCCUGCAGUCGAUACGGGCAGACUAGAGUUCGGUAGGGGAGACUGGAAUUCCUGGUGUAGCGGUGAAAUGCGCAGAUAUCAGGAGGAACACCGGUGGCGAAGGCGGCUCGCUGGGCCAUUCCUGACGCUGAGACGCGAAAGCUAGGGGAGCGAACAGG